rnacentral:rRNA from 1 species
UACGAAGGGGGCUAGCGUUGCUCGGAAUCACUGGGCGUAAAGGGUGCGUAGGCGGGUCUUUAAGUCAGGGGUGAAAUCCUGGAGCUCAACUCCAGAACUGCCUUUGAUACUGAAGAUCUUGAGUUCGGGAGAGGUGAGUGGAACUGCGAGUGUAGAGGUGAAAUUCGUAGAUAUUCGCAAGAACACCCGUGGCGAAGGCGGCCCACUGGGCCGGUGCUGACGCUGAGGCGCGAAGGCGUGGGGAGCGAACGGG